UCCUACGGGGGGCAGCAGUAGGGAAUAUUGCUCAAUGGGGGAAACCCUGAAGCAGCAACGCCGCGUGGGUGAAGAAGGUUCUCGGAAUGUAAACCCCUAUUGUUAGAGAAGAUAAUGACGGUAUCUAACGAAUAAGCACCGGCUAACUCCGCGCCAGCAGCCGCGGUAAUACGGAGGGUGCAAGCGUUACUCGGAAUCACUGGGCGUAAAGAGCGCGUAGACGGGAUAGCAAGUCAGAUGUGAAAUCCUGUGGCUUAACCAUAGAACUGCAUUUGAAACUG
rnacentral:rRNA from 1 species